UUACUACUCAUUGUCGUUUUGGAUUGGAACGAUAUUGAGAAGAUUAGCAUGACCCUUGGGCAAGGAUUACACACAUAAAUCGAGAAAUGGUCCAAAUAUUU